rnacentral:lncRNA from 1 species
GUGACAACAUUGUUGGUCCUUCAAAUCAAAUUAAAUAGAUACAUUUGACCACAUACUGUACGUACAUCUUUAGUGUGUCACAGGUCUCCUUAAACUUGUCUUUGUUUCUUUAUUAAAUCUACUUUUCACAUGUAUUGACCAUCUCCAAGCAGCUUGAUGUUCCUGUGACUACACCUGCACAUAUUAUUCAGGUCUAUAGGACUGUAGCCAACCUCUCGACGAGCAUAAAAUAAACGGUAACCAAGGAAACCAGAGAGAUUUAUGACAUAAGUGUCAGAUCACAUCAUCAGUCACUUUUUGAGCCAAAGUUGACUCAGUGGAAGACGAUGAGAAGACUCCACUGUCUCCACAAGCAAGUCAAACAAUAAGUACUUCCUUUACUUCUGUCCAGGCCUCAGGAAUCCAGAUGGAUCCGGUCUUGCACUGCACUGUUUCAAGCUUCAGUCAACAGUCUCGGAGCAAACGGAGCAGCAGGGAUUUCUGGUUGCCACCGUUCCUGUUCCUGUGUGGUCCCCGUCAUGCUUAUACUACAGCGCUGUAGGGCCCAGAGUGGGAGACGAUUGACACCUACAGGCUAAAAAGACGUAACACGCACUCCUACGCGGUGAAAAUUAGGUGUAACGCGGGAGAAAUGGAAACAAAUCACAGUAGAGGCUGACACUGUUAAGUGCGACGACUGUACGUGUCCAGGUUGGUUUGUUUCAUAUGUGUAGUCUUGUCGUUAUGUUAAUGUGGAGACCCUGUUCUGUGUUUAGUGUUAAUAUCUAAGUGUUACUUAUUCUGUAUUUUAUGUCUUGUGCAAGCAGCGCCCUCAGUUGUACUUACUUAGUUUUGUCUGUAUUUCUUAUUUGAUUACCUAUUAAACCUCCUGUUCU